rnacentral:lncRNA from 1 species
AAAGAUCUCGGAAUCGAUUCUAUCAACUACCAAAUUUUCAAUUCCGGUUUUAAACCGGUGCCAACCGGUUUGAUGCAAUGUUUCCGAUAUCAAUAAGGAGAAAGCUGACGGUGUGUAAGAGAAUUUGAAAAGAAUAGUGUGGAUAAGAGAAUUUGAAAAGAAUAGUGUGGAAGGCCGUGGUUGUAACAAAUUCUAGGACGGCAGAAAUGGAUAGAGGAGGGGUCGACCAAUAGCACGGGGGUGAGGCUUUAUUUCAUACCGCAAAAAAUACAUAUUAUGAAAAAGAUAGACCUAACUAGAUAACCGAUUUUUUAAAAAAGAGAAUACUAAAUCCAAAAAAGAGAAUACUAGAUCCAAACUGAUAAAUGUGAGCAUGAAAUACUAUAAACAGGAAUUAAACUGGUUUGUAAACAAACAAGAUUUUUGGUCCGGUUUUGAUUCGGUUUGGUUUCUGCAGUUCAGAUGAACA